UUGUUACCAAAAAAAAAAAAAAAAAAAAAGGCCAGUAAAGAUAUCUUCAAAUGAUAUCAACCCUAUUACUAGAUUCUUUGUUCACCAACAGAUCUUUUGUUUGUCGGAAGCGGAAUUUUGAGAUGCUCCUGGAUUCUACGUUACAGGAGUCCCUUAACAUCCGGUGUCUCAGAUGCUCGCUAGAAGUUGGUGAGAUAAACAGGACUAGCCAGAUCUCCGUUCCAGAAACAAUUCAGCCUGUCCAAUGAUGUCCUCUCCACCCUUUCCCUACUUCCUGCCUCCGAAAAACCACAUUUUCCAAACGGGAAGCCAGGAGCUGGAGAAGUACAGACACCUAAGUUGCCUGGAUUCGUAAAGAAUGGGUCCUUUGAGUCUGCCCGCUCUCCAUGCAAAUUUCUUACUCGGCCUCUCUCCAACGGCACGACUCGAUCAGCUCGAUCUGCUCUCCUUUUCCUACAGGGUAGUACCAGUCAUCUGAGCAACACGCAUUCCCCUGAGGGGCGGUAUGGUUGAGGUGAAAAGCACGUGCUCCAGGUGUAAAGCCAAACCCUCACGUUCACGAUCACUGGGGUCUUUGGCAAGUUCGUUUCACCUUUCUUGGGCCUCAGUUUCCUCGUCUACAAAAUGGUGUCAUAACCGUAGCCACUCCACGGAGCGGCGAGGAUUAAGAGCUGUAUGUGAACGUGCAGAAUAUUACGCGGCACAUGGUAAGCCCUACGAGUGCUGGCUACCACUGAUAAAAGGCAUUUCUUGUCUGUGACCCUCAAGCCUAAAGGAACUAUUAAGGUUCUACGUAUCUGAGGAUUCAAUCGGGUUUCUAAGUUUUGGAUGAGGUCUUCUGUAAGCUUAAAGGGAGCCAGAAAUCAUUUACGUGCAGUCUCUGCGAUAUUUUCAAAACCUUUUACUCAAAGCAGUACUAAAAAAAAUACAUCACUGCUUUCUUGACACUUUUCUAUACAUAGCUAGUGUGCUCAAGAAAGUUACUCCUCACUUAAGAUACAAAAAAGGUUGGGGAGGCUGAAUUAUCUGAAUCUGUCCUAAGCAGAGAUUACCAACUUGACAAUGUACAUAGACUGUUAUAUCUGCUUUGGCAGAAAAAGAAGAUGCGGAGAAUCAGAUAAAACGUGACUCUACUGCCCCCAAUGUUCAAAACUCCCCCUCCCCAACAACUUUAUAAAUAUUUUAUCAUAAUUUUUUUUUUUUUUUUUUUUACCUAAAUUUUCAAGGUCUUUCUUGGUGACAAAUUUGUAAUCAUCGUAAACUGUGCUUUCUGGAUUCUCUUCUAGUUCUUCUGUCAAGUUGUCCAGGAAGGAGCACCACCUGGGAGCAGGGCCCAAAACCUACCGGUGUUGAUUAAAAGAUCUUUCCCAGCACUACGCCUCACCCACUGAGGUCAAGGCUUAUCCCAAAUGAAACAAUGCUACGCAGCAGGAAGGCUACGCUAUUGAAAGUGUCUGCUGAACUCCAGGCUUUCAGAAGAACAACCCUGGGCUGACAAAAUGGAACUUCCCGUGACUACUUCCCUGUGUAUUUUGAUAGCUAUUGACUCAACAGGAGAAAAACAAAAAUCAUAAUGGAAAUGAUGAAACCUAGCUUAAACUUUCUGGGGAAGGGAAGGUGGAAGAGACUAGUAACAAGGAACAACAGCGCCUAAUACCAUCUUCACUCAAAAAAACA